UACGAAGGGAGCUAGCGUUGUUCGGAAUCACUGGGCGUAAAGCGCACGUAGGCGGAUUUGCCAGUCAGGGGUGAAAUCCCGGGGCUCAACCUCGGAACUGCCUUUGAUACAGCAAGUCUUGAGUUCGAGAGAGGUGGGUGGAAUUCCUAGUGUAGAGGUGAAAUUCGUAGAUAUUAGGAAGAACACCGGUGGCGAAGGCGGCCCACUGGCUCGACACUGACGCUGAGGUGCGAAAGCUAGGGGAGCAAACGGG
rnacentral:rRNA from 1 species